AGAAUCACAACAAUAAGAAGGAUGAGGAUGGACAGGAGCCACUGGCACCCAGGCCCAGCAGGGGGUGCCAGAAGAAAGCAGAGGAUGAAGCCCUGGGAGACUCCCUAGGUGAACGGUAUUGGCCAUGAUUCCCAGCAGUUUCCCAGCACCAGUGCCUUCCUGCUGUACGUGCAGGAAGCCAGCCCUGCUGUGGCAGUCCCAUAAGAUGAGGUCCAGAUCCUGCACUGGCACCUGAGCGAAGUUCUUUUCCUCAAUGCCUGUCUUCAAGAAAAGCUGGAACAUCAUCUCAGCAUUGCUGACCAAGGAGACGGGUACACUUCUACCUUCUGCAGGCAGAUCUUAGACUCGGUUGCCUGCUGUACAAUGAAAACAGAGAGCUCAGGGAAGAAAGUCUGAGUUCACUUGAAUCGUAUUUCCAGAGGUGAAAUCUCCGUUGUCACUCGCAGGUUAGCUGAACUACUUGGAGUCUGCCUGACACAUGUGAUACCAGAAACUUGGGCCGAAUUUUUUACACACAACGUAGAACUUCUCUUCAGUGGCUCCCCCCCCACCCUGCAAUUCUGGGAUUCCUCAACACC